CCUACGGGAGGCAGCAGUGGGGAAUUUUGGACAAUGGGGGAAACCCUGAUCCAGCCAUGCCGCGUGCGGGAAGAAGGCCUUCGGGUUGUAAACCGCUUUUGGCAGGAACGAAACGGCGCGCGCUAAUACCGCGCGCUAAUGACGGUACCUGCAGAAUAAGCACCGGCUAACUACGUGCCAGCAGCCGCGGUAAUACGUAGGGUGCAAGCGUUAAUCGGAAUUACUGGGCGUAAAGCGUACGCAGGCGGCUGUGCAAGACAGGUGUGAAAUCCCCGGGCCCAACCUGGGAACUGCAUUUGUGACUGCAUAGCUAGAGUCCGUAAGAGGGGGGUGGAAUUCCACGUGUAGCAGUGAAAUGCGUAGAGAUGUGGAGGAACACCGAUGGCGAAGGCAGCCCCCUGGGAUGAGACUGACGCUCAUGUACGAAAGCGUGGGGAGCAAACAGGAUUAGAUACCCUGGUAGUCCACGCCCUAAACGAUGUCGACUGGUUGUCGGGUCUUUACAGACUUGGUAACGCAGCUAACGCGUGAAGUCGACCGCCUGGGGAGUACGGUCGCAAGAUUAAAACUCAAAGGAAUUGACGG
rnacentral:rRNA from 1 species